CCUACGGGAGGCAGCAGUGGGGAAUAUUGGACAAUGGGCGGAAGCCUGAUCCAGCAACGCCGCGUGAGGGAUGACGGCCUUCGGGUUGUAAACCUCUUUCGGUGGGGACGAAGCGCAAGUGACGGUACCCACUAAAGAAGCACCGGCCAACUACGUGCCAGCAGCCGCGGUAAUACGUAGGGUGCGAGCGUUGUCCGGAAUUAUUGGGCGUAAAGGGCUCGUAGGCGGUUUGUCGCGUCGGGAGUGAAAACCAGGUGCUUAACACCUGGCUUGCUUUCGAUACGGGCAGACUAGAGGUAUGCAGGGGAGAACGGAAUUCCUGGUGUAGCGGUGAAAUGCGCAGAUAUCAGGAGGAACACCGGUGGCGAAGGCGGUUCUCUGGGCAUGACCUGACGCUGAG
rnacentral:rRNA from 1 species